rnacentral:rRNA from 1 species
GAAACCAACAGGGAUUGCCUCAGUAACGGCGAGUGAAGCGGCAACAGCUCAAAUUUGAAAUCUGGCUCUUUCAGGGUCCGAGUUGUAAUUUGUAGAGGAUGUUUCGGGUGCGGCGCCGGUCUAAGUCCCUUGGAACAGGGCGUCACAGAGGGUGAGAAUCCCGUACGUGACCGGCGACCAACCCCAAGUGAAACCCCUUCGACGAGUCGAGUUGUUUGGGAAUGCAGCUCAAAAUGGGUGGUAAAUUUCAUCUAAAGCUAAAUACCGGCCAGAGACCGAUAGCGCACAAGUAGAGUGAUCGAAAGAUGAAAAGCACUUUGGAAAGAGAGUCAAAAAGUACGUGAAAUUGUUGAAAGGGAAGCGCUUGCAACCAGACCUGUCCGUGGGCGAUCAACCUCUGUUCUCAGGGGUGCACUCGUCUGCGAUCAGGCCAGCAUCGGUUCGGGCGGUGGGAUAAAGGCCUUGGGAACGUAGCUUCCCCUCGGGGACGUGUUAUAGCCCUCGGUGCAAUGCCGCCAGCCCGGACCGAGGACCGCGCUUCGGCUAGGAUGCUGGCGUAAUGGUUGUAAGCGACC